rnacentral:rRNA from 1 species
GGAUUAGAUACCCUGGUAGUCCACGCCGUAAACGAUGAUAACUGGUUGUGUGCGAUACACAGUGCGCGACUGAGCGAAAGCAUUAAGUUAUCCACCUGGGGAGUACGUUGGCAACAAUGAAACUCAAAGGAAUUGACGGGGGCCCGCACAAGCGGAGGAACAUGUGGUUUAAUUCGAUGAUACGCGAGGAACCUUACCUGGGCUUAAAUGUAGAGUGCAUGAUUUGGAAACAGAUCUUUCCUUCGGGACCCUUUACAAGGUGCUGCAUGGCUGUCGUCAGCUCGUGCCG